UACGUAGGCAGCAAGCGUUGUUCGGAAUUACUGGGCGUAAAGAGUGUGUAGGCGGUGCUCUAAGUUUGGUGUGAAAUCUCCCGGCUCAACUGGGAGGGUGCGCCGAAAACUGGAAUGCUUGAGCAUGGGAGAGGAAAGCGGAAUUCCUGGUGUAGCGGUGAAAUGCGUAGAUAUCAGGAGGAACACCUGCGGUGUAGACGGCUUUCUGGACCAAUAUUGACGCUGAGGCACGAAAGCGUGGGGAGCAAAAGGG
rnacentral:rRNA from 1 species